rnacentral:rRNA from 1 species
UACGGGGGGAGCAAGCGUUGUUCGGAUUUACUGGGCGUAAAGGGCGCGUAGGCGGCCACUGCAAGUCGGUUGUGAAAUCUCCGGGCUUAACCCGGAAAGGUCAAUCGAUACUGCAGGGCUAGAGUGCAGAAGGGGCAACUGGAAUUCUCGGUGUAGCGGUGAAAUGCGCAGAUAUCAGGAGGAACACCAAUGGCGAAGGCAGCUCGCUGGGACGUGACUGACGCUGAGACGCGAAAGCGUGGGGAGCAAACAGG